GGAGAUCAGUGAAGAAUCUCGUUCUUAAUGAUGAUGGUAUUGAAUUGCUUCACGAAAACAGAAUUUCAGGCAUUUAUCAAUCUUCUAAAGAAACUGAAAGGCUUAAGCGGCUCAAAAAGGCUGGAAAAGGCACUGAGGUGGUUGAUCUGUCUGGUUUUUCUGAUGAUGAGGGUCUGCUAUUUGAUGAUUUAUGCGGAGAAGAGGGAGCUUCAUUUGG